AUAAUUCUUUUGUUUUUUCUCUGAAAAAUUAGAGAAAUUAAUAACUUAUUUUCCUGUUCCUACAACUUAAUAAAGUCUCAUUACAAGUCAUGUUUUUAAGCAGGCUAUGCGUUCUUUCUCCGAGAAAGGUAAUCCUUCUUUUAUCAAUUUGAAGAAAACCAUUUGUAUUAUGAUUUUUCUAUCCUAAUUCCUGGAAACUGAAUUCUGAAUUUUCUAUUUCUUGUAAUGUUCAUUUCAGAUAUUCUUUCUCUAAUUGCUAAACUUGUACUAAGGGGUGUUGAACAAAAAGAUUUUUGUCGGAGGCGUUGCUUGGGAGACAACUGAAGUGUUCAGGGCUCAGGGUGCCUUGGAAAUUUAUAUGAGCCAGCAACUUAAUGAUUGCACCAGCUGAAGUUGGUGCAUAAGGCUGCAACACCAUCUAGUGGAGGGUGUUCUGGACAAAGAAAGCUUGUACCUUAAAACAGGAGGAUACAAGAAGCUGGAGUGGUUGUCUGAAGGCUUUUGAACUGCUUGAAGCAUUAGUGUAGCUUUGGUGCUUUUGUGACUGAUCAGCUCUAGAGCAGCUAGAGUGAUAUAGUUGUGGGCUUUUGAACAAUCGUUGGAGUGAUAUGAAACAUUAGUGAUCUAGUUGUGAAUGAUAUUAUAAUUGUGAUGCUUUUGUGAAUAUAUAAUUGUGGUG